UACGUAGGGGGCAAGCGUUGUCCGGAAUCAUUGGGCGUAAAGAGCGCGUAGGCGGCCCUGUAAGUCCGCUGUGAAAGUCAAGGGCUCAACCCUUGAAUGCCGGUGGAUACUGCAGGGCUAGAGUCCGGAAGAGGCGAGUGGAAUUCCUGGUGUAGCGGUGAAAUGCGCAGAUAUCAGGAGGAACACCGAUGGCGAAGGCAGCUCGCUGGGACGGUACUGACGCUGAGGCGCGAAAGUGUGGGGAGCGAACAGG
rnacentral:rRNA from 1 species